GGGAGUGUAGUUCAAUGGCAGAGUACUUACCUAGCAUGUACAACACCCUGGGUUCAAGUCCUAGCACCGCCA
rnacentral:tRNA from 1 species